rnacentral:lncRNA from 1 species
CUAAUUGUUAAAGAAAAUCAGAUAUUGGAUUUUUGUGGGGUUCUGGUUUGUGGAUGACUGUAUAAAUCAAAUAUUAGGAAUCUAGGAUAUGAAUGAUACCAUGGACAAAAAACAACUUCAAACCUGAAUUUGCUAGAAAAGAUUCUUGAUUUUCUUGACAAAAAUGGAUUGGAUUCCUCCAUUUAGACUGCCACUAAUUCCACUUCACCUUAUACAAGGUACUUACAUCUGAUUCUUUUGUAAGUUGUGACUACAAUUUUUUACUUUUCUACUUUCUUUUAAUGCUUUAUUUUUGUAUGGAUGUGCUCUAUUUUAUUAAUUUGCCAAGGUAAAGUUUUGACCUUUAUUAGUGUUGAAACCUGGCUGUGAUUGUGAGGCUUAUCUGGAAGAUAUUGAAGCUAAAACUAAAUGCAAGCUUCAGAAAUUAGAGGGUUUACUUAGUAGUUAUCCUCUUCCACCUUAAUUAUGUUGUAUCCAGAUGGAAAGGUGUUUAUUAAAGAUUACUGCUGAACUAUGCUCAUUUUGGUCAAUAUUUCAAAAGAGUUCUUGAUAAUGUUGUAACUUGUGGCAUUAUGGAAGCAAAUGUUUCAAUGAAGCAAAACUUCUAGAGGAACCUCAUCUUUCUGUUGUCCUCUACUUGCGUGUUCAUGCACUUUCCACCAAGUUAUCAUCAUAUUCAGGUUCUGUUUUUCCUUGUUCUUGAUGUCAUUUCCGUAUAUUAUCUCAUUUAGUAGCUAUUUGAUCUGUUUGAUGAACAAGUCACUUUGAUGAAUGAUAAUUGGAUUUUCUUUUCAAAAUCUGUUUCUUCUGUACAUCUUCGUCUAUAAUUUAUUUGUUCAAUCUUUUGGUACAAACUAAAUGUUGUUAUCUGCAUUCCUCUUUUUCUUUUGAAGAAAGCAGAUAUGAGAGUGAUGCAGCAUCUGGAGGUGCGGUUGAAUUUUGGGCUAUGCGUCUUUAACUGGUUUUUAUAGAAUCAAAGACCUUGAACUGUUUUCUUUUAUGAAGAAAAUUAAUGAUAAAGUAUUUAGAACACAAAAUUUUAGUUUAUCUAGAUUAGGAAAAUUAUGUGAUGAUUAUGGGAUGUGGUUCUUGCUUGUUUUUCCCACUUUCUAAUUCUUAAGAAACAAAUUUUGUGAGUUGAGAUACGUUAUCCGUAGUCAUUAAAUGAAAAUGUCCUGUUUCAUCCAUUGAUAUGGAUCUUAUUGCUCAGAUCUGAAUCCAACUCGCUUCUCAUAUUCAACAGUUACCUAUUCAGUAUUAAGUAGUGAAAGACUGUAUAAAAAACAAUCUGCAUCAAGCGAUCUUGCAGUUGAAUCAUUUGACUUUUUGUAAUUAAAUUCUUUAUACUUUUGUGAUAAAAUGAUUAGUCUCUUCUUGAGUUUCUACGUGUACAAUUAAGAAUGUGUUCCCAAUUGUGGGUCAUUUUUAGCUGCUAGCCAUGUAUGAUAUUGGACUUCCUCGGGUAGUUUUGGCACUGUCACUGGUGUUGAUGUUGCAAGGCAUAGGCUGGCGCCUGGCAGCUUGGUGCUCAUUGUUGUCUAUUUGCUACUGAUAUACAACUUUUUUUUCUUUGAUUUGUCGGGGCUCAGUCGAAUACCCAAUAUGUAACAGACUCUAAUGGAAGUUAUUGUUUCUUGAUUUUUGUGUUGUGCCUGUCUAGAUGAGUUUGCAGUUCUGUGCAUAUUCUUAAAAUAUCAUUCUUCAUAGUUUUGGAUAGGGAUUAUGUGUGGGAUAAGAACUUAGAUACAUACAAAGAGUGGACAUCUAGGAGGCCGUUGAAAGAAAGGGAAGGGCAAACAAGCCAGAGGAUAAUGGUGACUUGCUGCUAGUCUGACAAAUUCAAUGUCCCAAACUUAUAUAUAGUGGACUGCAUUCAAUACGCUGUGGUUAGGCUCAGUCAAAGGAGUUAUAUCACAGUGUGAAGAUAUCUGUGUAUAGUUCUCCAUUAUCUGCAGAUUACAGCUGAUGGUUAAAUUGUGAAUCAGGUCCUUGUGGAUGCAGAUUGCACACCUGAUGGAUAAAUUAUGCACAUCCAGAAAUUGGAAAAUUGGGGCUGGACAAUCCUUCAGCAAUGUGUAGUUGAUGCGGUGGAAAUGAACAAUAUAAAUUAUCUUCAGGUUCUGGUGCAUAUUUGCUUAAAGACACUCUGUGUAGGUUUCAUUUUGGAACGAGUGCAAUGGUGUGUUCUUUGUGUUCUUAAUUUAUUGGACUUGAGAUUAGAAGAAACUGUCAAUAAAACCUUCUGCAGAGUUUUUAGAGCUUGUGCUUCUAUAGAUUUCCAUAAAGUUAGAAGAAUGAUUUUAUUGAUAUAUAGGCAUGUAAUUGUAUUAUUUGCAACUUGUACAUGAUGUCAAGUUUCUAGAUAUAGCACCACUUUUUAGGAAUUGACUGUAUAGAAUUAAUGAUAAAGUAUUUAGAACACAAAAUUUUAGCUUAUCUAGAUUAGGAAAAUUAUGUGAUGAUUAUGGAAUGUGGUUCUUGCUUGUUUUUCCCACUUCCUAAUUCCUAAGAAACAAAUUUUGUGAGUUGAGAUGCGUUAUCCGUAGUCAUUAGAUGAAAAUGUCCUGUUUUAUCCAUUCAUAUGGAUCUUCUUUCUCAGAUCUAAAUCCAACUCGCUUCUCAUUUUUGACAGUUACCUAUUCAGUAUUAAGUAGUAAAAGACUGUAUAAAGAAAAAUCUGCAUCAGGCGAUCUUGCAGUUGAAUUAUUUCACUACUUGUAAUUAUGUUCUUUAUACUUUUGUGAUAAAAUGAUUAGUUUCUUCUUGAGUUUCUACGUGUGCAAUUAAGAAUGUAUCGCAAAUUGCGGGUCAUUUUUAGCUGCUAUGUAUGAUAUCAGACUUCCUUGGGUAGUUCUGGCACUGUCACUGGGGUUGAUGUUGCAAGGCAUAGGCUGGCGCCUGGCAGCUUGGAGCUCAUUGUUGUCUAUUUGCAGCUGAUAUACAACUUGUUUUUCUUUGAUUCGUCGGGGCUCAGUCAAAUUCCAAAUAUGUAACAGACUCUUAUA